rnacentral:rRNA from 1 species
GACGAACGCUGGCGGCGUGCCUAAUACAUGCAAGUAGAACGCUGAAGGAGGAGCUUGCUUCUCUGGAUGAGUUGCGAACGGGUGAGUAACGCGUAGGUAACCUGCCUGGUAGCGGGGGAUAACUAUUGGAAACGAUAGCUAAUACCGCAUAAUAGCAGUUAUUGCAUGAUAACUGUUUGAAAGGUGCAAUUGCACCACUACCAGAUGGACCUGCGUUGUAUUAGCUAGUUGGUGGGGUAACGGCUCACCAAGGCGACGAUACAUAGCCGACCUGAGAGGGUGAUCGGCCACACUGGGACUGAGACACGGCCCAGACUCCUACGGGAGGCAGCAGUAGGGAAUCUUCGGCAAUGGACGGAAGGCUGACCGAGCAACGCCGCGUGAGUGAAGAAGGUUUUCGGAUCGUAAAGCUCUGUUGUAAGAGAAGAAAGAGUGUGAGAGUGGAAAGUUCACACUGUGACGGUAUCUUACCAGAAAGGGACGGCUAACUACGUG